UUAACAAUCGCGUCGUCGAUAUCCACAAGUUAAUUUGCUGUUAAGAUAAAUAUCAUAGUCAUCAUCAUCAACGUGGUAAUAAGUCUUAAUAAAAAUUUAAUUGUUGACAAAGGAGUGAGAUUUCUAAAUGAUAAUUAACGAGCCCUGACGAAUUAUCGUGCGAAGAAAAGGACCUGAGUCGGAAGACCUUCUAAAUCGAGUUUCUAAAGCCAAGCGAGGACGACAACGUUCCUGGGUCUGCGAUCCUCACAACGGCUACCAGAUUCCAAGUUCCAGGAAAUUAUUGAUCAAAUCAUCGUCCGAGCCUGAGAAGUCCUGGAUUGGGUGAGUUUAGUAAAGACCGUAGUAACCUCCGUAGCCGUG